rnacentral:rRNA from 1 species
GACGGAGGGUGCAAGCGUUGCUCGGAAUCACUGGGCGUAAAGGGUGCGUAGGUGGCUCGCCAAGUGCUUUGUGAAAUCCCACAGCUCAACUGUGGAACAGCAGGGCAAACUGGCGAGCUUGAGGCAGGUAGGGGCCGGAAGAACAGUUGGUGGAGCGGUGAAAUGCGUAGAUAUCAACUGGAAUGCCGAUGGGGAAGCCGUCCGGCUGGGCCUGUCCUGACACUGAGGCACGAAAGCGUGGGGAGCAAACAGG